CACGCCGUAAACGAUGAUCACUCGUCAUUGGCGAUAUACGGUCAGUGACCUAGCGAAAGCGUUAAGUGAUCCACCUGGGGAGUACGAUCGCAAGAUUGAAACUCAAAGGAAUUGACGGGGGCCCGCACAAGCGGUGGAGCAUGUGGUUUAAUUCGAUGAUACGCGAGGAACCUUACCAGGGCUCGAACGUACGUUGACAGUCGCGGAAACGUGAUCUUCUUCGGACAACGUGCGAGGUGC
rnacentral:rRNA from 1 species